rnacentral:lncRNA from 1 species
UGGUGUAUGGAAUGCACAGUGUCCAACCCAGACAGGUGGUUGGGAAACUGCUUUUCCUCCUGACACCUAGAGCCUGUUCAUGGGACAGGCCAGCAGCAGGCAUCCAGGCUAGAGAAUCCCUUCAGACAGCAAUUCCUCAAGAGACCCAUUGAGUUGGUUCUCAGAUGCCUGGCAACAUCUUGAAACACGUACCCAGAUACUUCCUGACAUGAGGAUGUGCACACUCAGCAUUCCUGACGCUGAUUGAGAUGUGUCUACAGAAGAGCAAGAAACGGGGCUGAGGCCACUAAGAACAGCACCACCUGUGCACACAUCAUUACAUAGAAUGCAUAAAUUUCUUCAGAGCCUCUGGAAAGGAGUUAGCAUGUCUUUGAAUCUGACUGAGACGGGAGCAUGGAUUUCGGAGUGGUGUUUCUGUUGCUCAAAGAGCAAGGUCCAGAGUUUUUAAUACUACCAUCUCAGAAACAACUGUAAAGAAGCUUUCUUCAGAACAUCCAACAGAUGAUGCAAGUCUGGACACAGGAUACUAU